AGACAACUGAACAAGGGCACUACAGUGUAAUAUCUAGUCUCCAAUCAUGAAAGUUGCUAUCGUUUUACUUGCAAUCCUACCAAUUAUCCUGUCUGCAAGCUUUCAAGAACAUCAACUUUACAAGGAUGCAUACAACACUUUGUCCCACGAAGACCGAAUAUCAGUUCAUGACGCUUAUGAAAAAGUGAAAAACUUUCUCGGGGGCCACGGAAAAGAAAUAUCUGGAGCCUCAUGCUCAAUUGUUUGUGCUAGUGCCACUGCUUUGGAAACACUUGGACUAUCGGCCCCACUAUGCGUAGCUGCUUGUGGACUAAUCAGCAUCUUCGGAUAAAAGAUUUGUCGUUCAUGAUAGGUUUUUUUCUGUGGCUUAGCUUUAAGUAAAUAAAAUCACUU